rnacentral:rRNA from 1 species
GGCUCAGGAUGAACGCUGGCGGCGUGCCUAACACAUGCAAGUCGAACGAUGAUAGCAAUGUCAUAGUGGCGCACGGGUGAGUAACACGUAGCUAAUCUGCCCUCGAGCGCGGGAUAACGUUCCGAAAGGAAUGCUAAUACCGCAUAAGCUCACGCGAAGUAGAGGCGAGUGAGAAAAGAGGAAACCCACUUGAGGAGGAGGCUGCGGCCCAUCAGGUAGUUGGUGAGGUAAAGGCUCACCAAGCCGACGACGGGUAGGGGGUCUGAGAGGAUGAUCCCCCACACUGGGACUGAGACACGGCCCAGACUCCUACGGGAGGCAGCAGUGAGGGAUAUUGGUCAAUGGGCGAAAGCCUGAACCAGCGACGCCGCGUGGGUGAAGAAGGCCUUCGGGUCGUAAAGCCCUUUUGGGGGUGACGAGAACAAGGACGGUAGCCCCAGAAUAAGUCUCGGCUAACUACGUGCCAGCAGCCGCGGUAAAACGUAGGAGGCAAGCGUUAUCCGGAGUUACUGGGCGUAAAGCGCGUGUAGGCGGCUUGGUAAGUGGGUCGUGAAAGCGCCCGGCUAAACUGGGCGAGGACGAUCGAGACUGCCAGGCUCGAGGGUGGUAGAGGGACAGGGAAUUCCGGGUGUAGCGGUGAAAUGUGUAGAGAUCCGGAGGAACACCAGUGGCGAAGGCGCUGUCCUGGGCCACCUCUGACGCUGAGACGCGAAGGCGUGGGGAGCGAACGGGAUUAGAGACCCCGGUAGUCCACGCGGUAAACGAUGCAGACUGAGUGUUCACUUUCCUAACGGGAAGGGAGUGCUGAAGCUAACGCGGUAAGUCUGCCGCCUGGGGAGUAC